AUGAAAAUCUACAGUAAUUUAUAAUACACAAUUUUGUCAUAAAAAAUUUUUUUCUACAAACAAAUAAUAUGAAUUCAUCAACCGGCAUUUAUAUAUUCGCGCGGGCAACAUUUUAUCUUUUCAAAAAUUCAAAUGAAUCUUUUGUCUCGGGUUAUAAAAACGGCAGUACUGGUCGCCGCCGCGUCAUUCAUUUUUUGAAUUUUGUUUCGAGAAAGUAGUUAACGCACAUCACAUUUUUUUAUUACGGUCUCUAAUACGGUGUCUAAUAUAUAUUUAAGCAUCGUAACCGUAAUCCCUAAAAUUAGUGUGAUCCUUGCUUAGCGUUGUCUCGAUUGAACAAAUAUAAUUAUAGUGUCAGUGUUUAUCGCCCCCAAACUGGGGUUCGACGUUUGGGUCACCAAUUUUGGAAAUUUACAUCCA
rnacentral:misc_RNA from 1 species